rnacentral:rRNA from 1 species
GACGAACGCUGGCGGCGUGCCUAAUACAUGCAAGUCGAACGAGAGCGACCGGUGCUUGCACUGGUCAAUCUAGUGGCGAACGGGUGAGUAACACGUGGGUAACCUGCCCAUCAGAGGGGGAUAACAUCCGGAAACGGAUGCUAAAACCGCAUAGGUCUUCGAACCGCAUGGUUUGAAGAGGAAAAGAGGCGCAAGCUUCUGCUGAUGGAUGGACCCGCGGUGCAUUAGCUAGUUGGUGAGGUAACGGCUCACCAAGGCCGUGAUGCAUAGCCGACCUGAGAGGGUGAUAGGCCACAUUGGGACUGAGACACGGCCCUAACUCCUACGGGAGGCAGCAGUAGGGAAUCUUCCGCAAAGGACGCAAGUCUGACGGAGCAACGCCGCGUGAGUGAAGAAGGUUUUCGGAUCGUAAAACUCUGUUGUUAGAGAAGAACAAGUGCUAGAGUAACUGUUAGCGCCUUGACGGUAUCUAACCAGAAAGCCACGGCUAACUACGUG